CUGAGAGAAACACACACUGGCUGUGUGGACCUUUCCUGAGGAUCACCGUAAAGAGGAACUACUCUGAUUUAUUCGCCAUACAGGCUCGUGUGUUCAUUGGCCAGCGGCUAUAAAGGUUUAAACAUCAAGAACCAGCGUCCAGCGAUGCUGAUCCGGUCAACAAACCGGGCUUUUUCUAUAACUGUCAGCAGCAGAAACAAGUGUGGGUCCAUGUUGGUCAACGAGGUGAAGGCAUUAUCCGUUUAUAAAUAACGAUUUUUUUCUUAAUUUUAAAGCAUUGUAACAGUUACAACCUUGACUUUAUUUACCAAUGAGGCCGGAGAUAGGAAAAUUAAUGUGUGGCUCAAAAUGACUUUAAUACAAAUUUAAUCCAACCAAAAUUCCAUUUGAGACCACCAAAGCUCUACACAAUGCAGCCUUUAACAAGUUCCUCGACCAGCGCUUCUUAACCCACUACUUUAUCAAUCAGGGUAGAGAAAGACAUUCCACGAUUUUGCGUUCGGAAUCCAGCGUAAGACCGGAAGCCAAAUCCGUCACGAACGCUGUGGGAACAAGGCUUCAGACUUAUUGCCAAAAUCGUUCUAAAAUUUGUAAGAAAACGCACUACUGGAUAACUUAAACUAAAUAUCACGAAGAGAAACGAUUUAUAAUUAUGUUCUGGGCCCGGCUGACUUGAAAAAAAAUCUACAAUUUACUUCAAUUUAAGAUAUCCAUCUUCGAGCAAAUUUUAAAAAAACAUCCCUACUACACAAAGAAAACCAAGUAAGGGUUACUUGGAAGUGUGUACCGCGACGUGAUAAUGGGCUGAAAUAGGUGAUCGAGGAGGCCAAUGUCGCAUUAUAAGUGAGG